rnacentral:rRNA from 1 species
CGUGGAGUCCAAGCGUUAUCCGGAUUUACUGGGCGUAAAGCGUUCGUAGGUGUCCCAUCAAGUCUUCGGUGAAAUCUCCGGGCUUAACUCGGAAACUGUCGAGGAAACUGGUGGGAUCGAGUGCGGUAGAGGCAGAUGGAAUUCCUGGUGUAGGGGUAAAGUCCGUUGAUAUCAGGAAGAACACCAGUGGCGAAGGCGAUCUGCUGGGCCGCAACUGACACUGAGGAACGAAAGCGUGGGGAGCGAACGGGAUUAGAUACCCCGGUAGUCCACGCCGUAAACGAUGGGCACUAGGCAUCCGAGGCAUAGACCCUUGGGUGUCGAAGCUAACGCGUCAAGUGCCCCGCCUGGGAGUACGGCCGCAAGGCUA